rnacentral:rRNA from 1 species
AAUGAACGCUGGCGGCAUGCCUAACACAUGCAAGUCGAACGAAGGCUUCGGCCUUAGUGGCGCACGGGUGCAUAACGCGUGGGAAUCUGCCCUUGGGUUCGGAAUAACAGUGAGAAAUUACUGCUAAUACCGGAUGAUGUCGAAAGACCAAAGAUUUAUCGCCCGAGGAUGAGCCCGCGUAGGAUUAGCUAGUUGGUGAG